AUUGAACGCUGGCGGCAUGCCUUACACAUGCCAGUCGAACGGUAACAGGUCUUCGGAUGCUGACGAGUGGCGAACGGGUGAGUAAUACAUCGGAACGUGCCCGAUCGUGGGGGAUAACGAGGCGAAAGCUUUGCUAAUACCGCAUACGAUCUACGGAUGAAAGCGGGGGAUCUUCGGACCUCGCGCGGACGGAGCGGCCGAUGGCAGAUUAGGUAGUUGGUGGGAUAAAAGCUUACCAAGCCGACGAUCUGUAGCUGGUCUGAGAGGAUGAUCAGCCACACUGGGACUGAGACACGGCCCAGACUCCUACGGGAGGCAGCAGUGGGGAAUUUUGGGCAAUGGGCGAAAGCCUGAUCCAGCCAUGCCGCGUGCAGGAUGAAGGCCUUCGGGUUGUAAACUGCUUUUGUACGGAACGAAAAGCCUCUUUCUAAUAAAGAGGGGUCAUGACGGUACCGUAAGAAUAAGCACCGGCUAACUACGUG
rnacentral:rRNA from 1 species